rnacentral:rRNA from 1 species
AAGNANGCNUGGCGGNUGGCCUACACAUGCAAGUCGAACGGCAGCCACAGGUAGAGCUUGCUCUCUGGGUGGCGAGUGGCGGACGGGUGAGGAAUGCAUCGGAAUCUACUCUGUCGUGGGGGAUAACGUAGGGAAACUUACGCUAAUACCGCAUACGACCUACGGGUGAAAGCAGGGGACCUUCGGGCCUUGCGCGAUUGAAUGAGCCGAUGCCCGAUUAGCUAGUUGGCGGGGUAAGAGCCCACCAAGGCGACGAUCGGUAGCUGGUCUGAGAGGAUGAUCAGCCACACUGGAACUGAGACACGGUCCAGACUCCUACGGGAGGCAGCAGUGGGGAAUAUUGGACAAUGGGCGCAAGCCUGAUCCAGCCAUACCGCGUGGGUGAAGAAGGCCUUCGGGUUGUAAAGCCCUUUUGUUGGGAAAGAAAAGCAGCCGGUUAAUACCCGGUUGUUCUGACGGUACCCAAAGAAUAAGCACCGGCUAACUUCGUGCCAGCAGCCGCGGUAAUACGAAGGGUGCAAGCGUUACUCGGAAUUACUGGGCGUAAAGCGUGCGUAGGUGGUUGUUUAAGUCUGUCGUGAAAGCCCUGGGCUCAACCUGGGAAUGGCGAUGGAAACUGGACGACUAGAGUGUGGCAGAGGGUAGUGGAAUUCCUGGUGUAGCAGUGAAAUGCGUAGAGAUCAGGAGGAACAUCCGUGGCGAAGGCGACUGCCUGGGCCA